CAUUAUUAAUUUGAGUCGGGUUUUCCUAUAAAAAGCCCGACAAUCCCUGCAGCCUUCUCUUUGGCUGAACUUUUCUAGAAAGGUCUAGAAGUGCGCGCGUGUGUAGUUUUCUUUAAAGUGAGAGGUUCAAUUAGUAAGAUAGUUAAUACAAAGUUCGUUAGUAAGGUGUUAGUCGCUGUAAAAUUGUUAUAAAAAUUUAUAGUUAAAACACGACACAAAACAAACAACGAAAACGAACACGUUAAAAAGCAAC